GGGGCAAGUCGGGCAAUCGCGUGCUACGGUACGAGGAAGGUCCGGACUCCACAGGACAGAGUAGCGGCUAACAGCCGUCCAUGCCUUUGGCAUGAGGAAUAGGGCCACAGAGACGAGACUGUUAUGCGGGCUUGAGCAAUUAGGCACACAGGUGGCGACUUCCACUUGUUGCGGUCAAUGUAGCGAGCUGCGGUGACUUCAGCAUAGCAGGGUGAAACGCGGUAACCUCUACUCGGAGCAACAUCAAAUAGGCAUACGCACCGCAUUUAUGCGGCACAGGGCGGUCCGUCCGAGUAUGCGGGUAGAUGGCAUGAGCUGAUUAGCAAUAAUCAGUCUAGAUGAAUGAUUGCCGGCGAUUUAUCGCUUACAGGAUCCGGCCUAUAGACUUGCCCCACAU
rnacentral:RNase_P_RNA from 1 species